AAAUUGAAGAGUUUGAUCAUGGCUCAGAUUGAACGCUGGCGGCAGGCCUAACACAUGCAAGUCGAACGGUAGCACAGAGAGCUUGCUCUCGGGUGACGAGUGGCGGACGGGUGAGUAAUGUCUGGGAAACUGCCCGAUGGAGGGGGAUAACUACUGGAAACGGUAGCUAAUACCGCAUAACGUCGCAAGACCAAAGUGGGGGACCUUCGGGCCUCACACCAUCGGAUGUGCCCAGAUGGGAUUAGCUAGUAGGUGGGGUAACGGCUCACCUAGGCGACGAUCCCUAGCUGGUCUGAGAGGAUGACCAG
rnacentral:rRNA from 1 species